rnacentral:snRNA from 1 species
CCAAUGAGGCUCUGCCGAGGUGCGUUUAUUGCUGGUUGAAAACUUUUCCCAAUUGCCCGCGCUGGCCCCUGAAACACGGGCGUCAGACGCAAUUUUUGAACGCCUCCAGGAGG